UCCAUUAUAGUGGAAUCCCCAGGAGCCCAAGCUCGAGCUUGCAAUAAAACAGCUCUUUUGCUUUUUGUAUGGGAAUCGGUUCCCUGGUGGUCUUUGGGGACUUUGUGAUCUGGGCAUAACAUCUGGGGGCUCGUCUGGGAUCCCCCAAGACCCCCUGAAGACCCCCGACCCGAAGAGCCAAUAAGUGGUUAAGGACAUGGUUUACCAUCCACAGACCGGUCACCCCAACCAGGUUCCGUACAUUACCAUUGGAUUGACCUGGUGGAGGAUCCCCCUCCAUGGCUAAAGGCUCUUUUGCCUCCAGCAGAUGAUGUCUGCAACAGUGCAGCAGUUCUUGCAGUGCACGAGAAGCCCCUCACUGAGAAAUCCACUAAAUUCACCAAACCCAAACCCUCUGUCCCACUUUAUCCUGUGUUACAGGACAGCAUGGACCAAGAUUUCUUUUGUCCUCCUCUGUAUCGUCCUCCUGCCCCUCCACAGGUUGCCUCUCCAUCUCCUGGAGAGGCGGCGGCCGGGCCCGCUGCUGAAGUUGAGACUGCAGUCAGACCUGGCGCUGGGAGUCCACCGUACACAAGACAGCGGGCCCAGCGAGAGGUGAAUGCUGACUCAACCAUCCUUCCUCUGAGGGCUGCAAGCCCCCCAGAUGUGUAUGGGGUGCAAGAUCUUUAUUAUUAGCCCUUUGCCACAGUGAUUUGUAUAACUGGAAAAUGCAAAACCCUACAUUCUCUGAAAAGCCUAGUGUCUUAGUUAAUCUCUUAGAUUCUUUUCUCUUUACUCAUCAGCCUACCUGGAAUGAUUGUCAGCAGCUUUUACAGGUGCUCUUCACUACAGAAGAGAGGGAGAGAAUACUGUUGGAGGUUCAGAAGUCGGUUGUGGGUGCAAACGGAGCUGUGACUACUAAUCCUGCUGAGAUUAACACUGUCUUCCCCCUUACCCGCCCUGAUUGGGAUUUUCACACAGGGGAUGGUCAGACAAGUCUCCAAGUCUACUGCCAGACUCUAAUGAGGGGUCUCUAGAAAGCGGCCCGUAGGCCGUCUAAUUUGGCUAAGGUAGGUAACAUGCAGCAGGAAAAGAAUGAGUCUCCCUCUGCCUUCCUAGAAAGGAUCAUGGAAGCAUUCCGUACUUAUACUCCCAUGAAUCCUGAGGAAGACAGUAGCAAAGCUGUGGUUAUUAUGGCUUUUGUUAACCAAUCUGCCCCUGAUAUAUGAAAGAAACUUCAGAAAGUAGAUAGGUUGGCUGAGAAAAACUUACAAGAUUUGCUUGCAGUGGCCGAGAAGGUUUAUAAUAACAGAGAGACACCAGAGGAAAAACAGACCCGCGCUCAGACCAAACAAACUCAAGAUCUGGCUAAAAUCCUGCUGGCCACCACAGCUGCCAAGCCAAAGGAUCGGGCAGGCACGACUAAAGCGACUAACCGCUGAAGGUGAGGAGAAACCCUUGGAGGAGGAACGCAGAUGCUUACAGAGGGACCAGUGCGCCUACUGCAAGGAGAUAGGGCACUGGCCAGAGAAUGUCCCAAGCAGAGAGCCAACAAGCCCACCCCCCAUGGUGAAACUCACAUUUUGGAAACGGGGGAAUUAAGUGAUUAGAGAGGUCAGGGUUCAGCACCCCUCCCUGAACCCAGGGUAACCCUCAAAGUGGAGAGGACACCGAUUAAUUUCCUUGUGGACACUAGUGCCCAGCAUUCAGUGCUUUUAAGAGAUCAAGGUAAACUAGAUACAAGAAAAUCUUGGGUCCACGGGGCAGCUGGGAUGAAGCAAUGCUCAUGGACUACCCAAAGAACUGUAGACCUGGGCACAGGCCGGGUAUCCCAUGCAUUUAUGGUUAUCCAAGACUACCCAUACCCCUUACUUGGGAAAGAUUUAUUAACCAAGAUCGGGGCUCAGGUAUCUUUCAAGCAGGAUGGCCCCCAGGUUACAGUGCGUAUUGGGAAGUGGACUUCACAGAAGUCAAACCAGCAGGUACAGAAAGAGUGUUGGCGCCGCCUGUGGGCUACUUACGUGGCUGGUUCCGUACCUGAGUCCCACAAGUUCUGGCCUGGCGAUUGGGUUUACGUAAAGAGGCAUCCCCGAGAGACUUUGGAACCCCGGUGGAAGGGCCCAUAUGUCAUGAUCCUGGCAACACCCACCGCUCUCAAAGUAGACUUCAUCGCUUCCUGGGUACACCACACCCACGUAAAACUUGCAGACCCGUUCACCAUUCAGGAAGACUUCAUCCCACAAUGGAGAAUCCAGCAGGCUGAAGGCAACCCUUUAAAACUCAAACUAAAGUGUUCCCCACCUACUUGCUGCUAAUAUUGGUUGUAUGUACCCCUUUGAGUGCCUCCCCUUACCCUAAUCCUCAUCAGCCAUAUAAUGUCGCCUGGUAUGUCUAUGGGGGACCCGUGCGGGGGAUGUUUGGGGGCACCUUCAUCUGGCCUGCUGACUGGUCGUUGUUAAAUUCUACUUAGGGUAUCCAUCCUAAGAACACCUGGUACCCAGAUUUAUAUAGAGAUCUAGACCAAGUAGUGGGUCUCAUGCAGAGCACCUGGAGCCCCUGACACAGCUUACAUUAUGUGUACCCAGGUCACAAAACAGACAAGUGUGGGGGGCACACUUUCUGUCAACAUUGGAGCUGUGUAUCCACAGGCCAAAUCUGGUGGACACCACCAAACACCCCGGAUUUAAUUGAGGUAAAAAGAAGCCCCAGGGGCGGCGCCUAUGGCUCAGUUGGUAGGGCGCCAGCCCCAUAUAACGAGGGUGGUGGGUUCAAACCCGGCCCUGACCAAACUGCAACCAAAAAAUAGCCGGGCGUUGUGGCGGGCGCCUGUAGUCCCAGCUACUCGGGAGGCUGAGGCAAGAGAAUCGCUUGAGUAGUUGGAGGUAGUUGGAGGUUGCUGUGAGCUGUGUGAGGCCAUGGCACUCUACCGAAGGCCAUAAAGUGAGACUCUGUCUCUACAAAAAAAAAAAAAAGCCCCGGUCCUUGGUCACAUACAAUUGGCAGGGACAAUUGCCAUCUGCCAUCGUACAGGGCUCCUCGGAGAAGUAAGACUAUGUGACCCAGUGCGCAUUCGGUUCACUGGCCUGGGGAAAAAUUGUUUCACCACUUGGGAAUUUGGAAAAAUAUGGGGACUCCAUAUAUACAGCUCUGCCUGAUGGGGUACGGACUUUGCUGUACAUGACAAGGGGGGAUUCAUUAAGAUAAAAGUAGAAUACAGCCCGGUUCCUGACAAACCCACCCAAGUUGGACCUAAUAGUAUCCUCCCUUACCCAGCAAGUACUCAAGUAUUCUCCAAAUCAAUAACUUGUGCCCCUGUGACGUCCCCAUUGCCAUCCAAUUCCAGUAAAAGUCAAUUUUCAUACCCGGACCCCACAUGGGAACUGCUCAUCAAGUACUGACUUUAACCCAGCCAGACUUAACUGCAGCCUGCUGUCUCUGUCUUAGUGUAAAACCCCCUUAUUAUGAAGCUGUUGCCAUUGUAGGGCAAUACACUUCUGGAGAAGCCAUAGCCUGCCGAUGGCAUCAAAGUCACCUUAGACUCAUUGUUCAGACAGUGGUGGGAAAGGGCUUGUGUGUUGGAAAGGUGCCCAUUUCCCACCAGCAUCUGUGUAAUGCUACUGUCCCAUGGAAUGGAACUGGGUAUCUGAUACCCUCAAAUGAUACCCAGUGGGCUUGCUCAACAGGUUUGGCUCCAUGCAUACAUGCAGGGAUCUUAGACCAGAAUAAUGAUUAUUGUGUUCUAGUACAGCCAUAUCAACAAUAAUCUAUCACGAAGAAAGUACAAUACUCAGAGAUUCUUGGGCACCUUGAGCCCAGCCCCAUGCAGAAAGCGGGAGGUAAUUAUGGCUCUCACUAUCGCGACCUUAUUAGGACUAGGGCUAGCUGGGGCCGGGACUGGAGUGUCUGCCUUAGUCCUCCAGGAUAAAAACUACGGUGCUCUCCGGGAUGCAAUUGAGCUGAAUAUUCAGCAAUUAGAAAAAUCUAUUACUCUCCUCCAAGAAUCCUUAACUUCCCUUCCGAAGUAGUCUUACAGAACCAGAGGGGAUUGGACUUGCUGUUCCUCCAGCAAGAUGGGCUGUGUACCGCCCUAGGGGAGGAAUGUUGUUUCUACGCUGAUCAUUCAGGGGUUGUGAAAGGAUCUAUGGCUCUUGUCUGAGAAAGCCUGCGCCAGCACAAAAUAGACAAAGAAAAUAGUCAGAGCUGGUAUGAAUCCCUGUUCAAUUGGCCCCCUGGUCAACAAUGCUAAUAUCAGCAUUAGCUGGGCCUCUGACAAUAUUACUGUUACUCUAACCAUAGGCCCCUGUAUUGUCAACAGGCUCAUAACAUUUGUGAGAGAACAUGUAGGUGCAGUACAAUUGUUAGUUCUCUCUCUCUUUUUUUUUUUUUAUAAUAUAUCAUUACUAUAUUUUAUUUUAUUUUAUUUUAUUGCAGUUUUUGGCCAGGGCUGGGUUUGAACCCGCCACCUCUGGCAUAUGGGGCCGGUGCCCUACCCCUUUGAGCCACAGUUCUCAAAGGCUAAUAUUGGCCCUUAGCAGAACAAGAAAUGAUGGAGACGCAGAUGUCGGCCCCUUAGCAGAACAGGAAAUGAUGGAGACGCAGUCAAUUUACAAGUAGAGGAGGGAAUGAGAGAACCAGACUAAUACCAUUUUGAGAGUUCAGCCAUUUCGUCAGCCAUUUUGUUCAAAACUGAUGAGUCACCGUGAGUCACCGGUUUUCCAGCUUGAGUCAUCGGCCUCCAAUCAGAAACUGCCUUCUGGAGUGGGCCAUAUGGCAGGACCAGUGGCAGCCAAUCCAGAAGCAGUCCCUUUGUUUAAAAUGUAUAUGCCCACUUUGCUGUGCUACACUAUAAAAUAGCCCUGUGACAGAGCUCGGGGCUCCUGGCUUGGAUCUGUUGUAGCAGAGUCCCCGGGAGCCCAAGCUUGACCUUGCAAUAAAACGGCUCUUUUGCUUUUGCAUGGGAAUCGGCUCCCUGGUGGUCUUUGGGGACUUUGUGAUCUGGGCAUAACAUUUCCAUGGUGUACAUAUACCACAAUUUAUUAAUCCAUUUGUGGAUUGAUGGGCCCUUGGGCUUUUUCCAUGACUUAGCAAUUAUGAA